rnacentral:misc_RNA from 1 species
UAUAUUCUCAAAAUCUCUUCAUUGUUGUGAAGUAGGAUUUUGGAUUUUGGAGGUGCUUGUAGGUUUGUAAUAAAUCUGCUCCUCUUGAAUGUAUCAGCUGGAAACCUUUGUUAGACCAAGCCUCAGUGUGAUAAUUGUCUACACUGUAGUUUGUCUAGUUCUUGUAUAGGAUUCUGCUUCUAAUUGUAUUGUUUAUAAAAUAAACUUUACUUAUGACAU